UACGAAGGGGGCUAGCGUUGCUCGGAAUCACUGGGCGUAAAGCGCACGUAGGCGGGUCCUUAAGUCGGGGGUGAAAUCCCGGAGCUCAACUCCGGAACUGCCUUCGAUACUGGGGACCUCGAGUCCGGGAGAGGUGAGUGGAACUGCGAGUGUAGAGGUGAAAUUCGUAGAUAUUCGCAAGAACACCAGUGGCGAAGGCGGCUUUCUGGCCUGUUCUUGACGCUGAGGCGCGAAAGCCAGGGGAGCAAACGGG
rnacentral:rRNA from 1 species